rnacentral:rRNA from 1 species
ACUGUUGCGCGACUAGCCAACGGAAGUUUGAGGCAAUAACAGGUCUGUGAUGCCCUUAGAUGUUCUGGGCCGCACGCGCGCUACACUGGUGAAGUCAACGAGUUCAUUCCUUGGCCGGAAGGCCCGGGUAAUCUUGAGAAACUUCAUCGUGCUGGGGAUAGAGCAUUGCAAUUAUUGCUCUUCAACGAGGAAUCCCUAGUAAGCGUGAGUCAUCAGCUCGCGUUGAUUACGUCCCUGCCCUUUGUACACACCGCCCGUCGCUACUACCGAUUGAAUGGCUUAGUGAGACCCUCGGAUUGUAGAUCGUGGUGUUGGCAACAACAUACGGUUAGCGAGAAGUUGGUCAAACUUGGUCAUUUAGAGGAAGUAAAAGUCGUAACAAGGGUUCCGUAGGUGAACCUGCGGAAGGAUCAUUAAAAAAGGGUCGCAAGACCCAUUUUAAAACCUACCACCACCUAUCAUCAUCUAUGGGUGAGAUGGAGGAGGUAGGACUUUUAAACCCAUAUUUUUAUAUAUAUAUCGUCUAACGACGAAAUAAAAAAAAACCAAAAACUUUCAACAAUGGAUCUCUUUGGCUCUC